CUCUUAGAUGUCCGGGGCCGCACGCGCGCUACACUGAAGGAAUCAGCGUGGCUUUCUCCCUGACCCGAAAGGGUUGGGAAACCCGUUGAAUCUCCUUCGUGAUAGGGAUUGGGGCUUGAAAUUGUUCCCCAUGAACGAGGAAUUCCCAGUAAGCGCGAGUCAUAAGCUCGCGUUGAUUACGUCCCUGCCCUUUGUACACACCGCCCGUCGCUACUACCGAUUGAACGGUUUAGUGAGGGCCUCGGAUUGGUCUCGGCCCGCUCUUUACCGGGCGGCGCCGUUGGUCGAGAAGACGCUCGAACUUGAUCGUUUAGAGGAAGUAAAAGUCGUAACA
rnacentral:rRNA from 1 species